GCAGGGCCGGUCCCUGGCGCCAGGAGGAGGGGGGGUGCUGCGCGGAGCAGGGCCACCUUGGGCGCCCCGGUAGCCAGGCAGAGUAGGCACCUGCUUGUCCCAGAUGGCAGGUGCCUACCCUGCAGGACUAUACCGGCUACGUGAGGAAGGAAGGAGGCAGGCGGCGGCGAGUGAGCACUGCCUCUGCUGAUCUUCCUGCUCCCUCGUGCGCCCUCUCUGGUGACGUCAUUCCGGCCCCGCAUCACUAAACAGCACUCUAGGGAGCAGAGAGGAGCAGGAAGUCACCGGACCCCAGGGAAGGACCCAGAGGACUCCUAAAGGUAGGAGCAACAAGGAAUUUGUGUGUGUGUGUGUGUCUGGAAGUGAGUGUGUGUGUGUGUGUGUCUGGAAGUGAGUGUGUGUGUGUGUGUGUGUCUGGAAGUGAGUGUGUGUCUGUCAGUAAGUGUGUGUAUCUGUCUGUCUGGAAGUGUACGCGUGUGUCUGGAAGUGUGUGCAUGUGUGUCUGGAAGUGUGUGUGUGUGUGUGUCUGCCUGUCAGUGAGUGUUUGUCUGUCAGGGUUUGUGUGUGUGUGUGUGUGUGUGUCUGCCUGUCAGUGAGUGUUUGUCUGUCAGGGUUUGUGUGUGUGUGUGUGUGUGUGUGUAUGUGUCUGUGUCUGCCUGUCAGUGAGUGUUUGUCUGUCAGGGUUUGUGUGUGUGUCUGUGUCUGCCUGUCAGUGAGUGUUUGCCAGGGUUUGUGUGUGUGCUAUUGAGAGUGAGUGCCAGUGUGUCUGUCAGCAGAGCCAGCCUUUGAGGUGUGCAAGCUGUGGGGUCACGUAGGGUGCCAUGACAACAGAGGCGCCCAGUGGCCAACACAGCUCACAAGUUUGGGACACCAGCACAUUAAAGGGACACUCCAGGCACCCAGACCACUUCUGCCCAUUGGAGUGGUCUGGGUGCCAACUCCCACUACCCUUAACCCUUCAACUGUAAAUAUUGCAGUUUUCAUAAACUGCAAUAUUUACAUUGCAGGGUUAACUCCUCCUCUAGUGGCUGUCUACUAGACAGCUACUAGAGGGCACUUCCUGGUUUAUAGCACUGGUUUUCUGUGCUGUAGCGUCGCUGGACGUCCUCACGCUAUGUGAGGACCUCCAGUGUCGCUGAAACCCCCAUAGGAAAGCAUUGAAAGCAUUUUCAAUGCUUUCCUAUGGGGAGAUCUCCCCCGCCUAUGGAGAGGUCUCCCCCGCCGCCGGCCGCGCAUGCGCAAUCGGUCUACCCCGCCGGAUGUCGUCAAUGGAGGAGGAGCGUGGGCAGAG